UUUCUAUGAUGGUCUAUGGCAA
rnacentral:piRNA from 1 species